GACGAACGCUGGCGGCGUGCUUAACACAUGCAAGUCGAACGCUGAAGCCCAGCUUUUGUUGGGUGGAUGAGUGGCGAACGGGUGAGUAACACGUGAGUAACCUGCCCCCUUCUUUGGGAUAACGCCCGGAAACGGGUGCUAAUACUGGAUAUUCACUGGUCUUCGCAUGGGGGUUGGUGGAAAGGGUUUUUCUGGUGGGGGAUGGGCUCGCGGCCUAUCAGCUUGUUGGUGGGGUGAUGGCCUACCAAGGCUUUGACGGGUAGCCGGCCUGAGAGGGUGACCGGUCACAUAGGGACUGAGAUACGGCCCAGACUCCGACGGGAGGCAGCAGGGGGGAAGAUGGCACAAUGGGCGCAAGCCUGAUGCAGCGACGCCGCGUGAGGGCUGGAGGCCUUCGGGUUGUGAACCUCUUUCGCUCAUGGUCAAGCCGCAACAAUGGUUGUGGUGAGGGUAGUGGGUAAAGAAGCGCCGGCUAACUACGUG
rnacentral:rRNA from 1 species